GCUGAAGAGUGUUCCUUACUAACAUCUUACUCUGUCUGGUCUUUUAUAAUUUUUAAAUUCCUUCCUAUGAAAUCCAUAGCCGCCAGUGGAUUUCAGGGAUGGAGGUACUGUUAGGUCACAAGACAAAAGGCAGCAGCAGCAGCAGCAGGGUCAGACAAGGCCUGGUUUUGACCUGCUCAAGAAGCCUGUGGCUAUGCAGAAACUUGGCAGCCACGGAGCUUUUGUGGGUGAAUCACAGGAUUCUCUUAGAUCAGAAAUAUGCCGUCUCUCUUGUCUGGCCUGAGCAUCCACAGAGAAGCUGGCUGGAGUACAGGCUGUCUGUCAAAGGAGACUCAAGCAGGUGGACACAGGUGAAGACUAAGGCAGACUCAUGAAGGGACGUUUCACUGAAGCCGACACAGGAGAGAGGAUGUUCUGCUAAAGCAAGCAGGUAAAAGAACACAAGAUGAAAGAUUCUUUGCUAACAACAUUCAUGUAUUAGUUUGUCUUACAUUGCAUAGUUGAGCUACAUUCGUUGGGAUGCCAUGGAGAGAAAUGUACUUCAUAACUUCUGGAGGUGUGCUGCAGUUUCUUGCAACUUCCAGACUUGGGCUGAUUGGCAGAGUGAAGUCAACUGAGACAGACCCACGGAGGACUCGUGAUGUUUGGAGGGUAUAAAUAGGACUCAACAGACAGUGACGGAGGCUGAGCUUGGCUUACUUAUAGAGCUAGCUGUGCAAGGCUUGUGAGUCUUGCAUCUUCACUCCCUUGAGAGAGGCACAGCUGAGAACUUCUCCUGGCGUUCCUAUGGGUCCCUCCUGCAGACUCAUGCUGAGGCCUGGCUGUCUCUGCUAGGCAGGGCCCCCACUGCUGAUUAGUGUUUGCUAUCCCAACUCUACCAAACUGACUGUUGGUGUGUCUGUGAAGUGUUUUCAAGGGAAUCGAGCGGCUACUGCUAACCUGUGAGCUGAACUGCCAAUUUCCAGACAAUACAGGCAAGAGUUGCUCCAAAGAAUCUGUCUAAACAGGUCCACUUCCCCAGUAUCCUUUUCU
rnacentral:lncRNA from 1 species